rnacentral:rRNA from 1 species
ACGAACGCUGGCGGCGUGCCUAACACAUGCAAGUCGAACGCGAAAGGGAGCAAUCCCCGGUAGCGUGGCAGACGGGUGAGUAACACGUGGGUAACCUACCCGGAGGUGGGGGAUAACCCUUCGAAAGGAGGGCUAAUACCGCAUGAUACCGCGGGGACCUCGGUCCUCGCGAUCAAAGCUGGCCUCUGUUUACAAGCUAGCGCCACCGGAUGGGCCCGCGCCCCAUUAGCUAGUUGGUGAGGUAACGGCUCACCAAGGCGACGAUGGGUAGCCGGCCUGAGAGGGCGAUCGGCCACACUGGAACUGCGACACGGUCCAGACUCCUACGGGAGGCAGCAGUGAGGAAUAUUGCGCAAUGGGCGAAAGCCUGACGCAGCGACGCCGCGUGGAGGAUGAAGGUCUUCGGAUUGUAAACUCCUGUCGAGUGGGACGAAUGCCGUAAGGGUUAACAGCCCUUGCGGUUGACGGUACCGCUGGAGGAAGCCCCGGCUAACUCCGUGCCAGCAGCCGCGGUAAUACGGAGGGGGCUAGCGUUGUUCGGAAUCAUUGGGCGUAAAGGGCGCGUAGGCGGCCGAUCAAGUCGGAGGUGAAAUCCCUCGGCUCAACUGAGGAAUUGCCUUCGAUACUGUUCGGCUUGAGUCCUGGAGAGGGUAGCGGAAUUCCCGGUGUAGCGGUGAAAUGCGUAGAGACCGGGAAGAACACCAGUGGCGAAGGCGGCUACCUGGACAGGUACUGACGCUGAAGCGCGAAAGCUAGGGGAGCAAACAGGAUUAGAUACCCUGGUAGUCCUAGCUGUAAACGAUGGGCACUUGGUGUUGCGGGUAUCGACCCCUGCAGUGCCGAAGCUAACGCAUUAAGUGCCCCGCCUGGGGAGUACGGUCGCAGGCUGA